rnacentral:rRNA from 1 species
AUUGAACGCUGGCGGAAUGCUUUACACAUGCAAGUCGAACGGCAGCACGGACUUCGGUCUGGUGGCGAGUGGCGAACGGGUGAGUAAUGUAUCGGAACGUGCCCAGUCGUGGGGGAUAACGUAGUGAAAAUUACGCUAAUACAGCAUACGAUCUAUGGAUGAAAGCGGGGGAUCGCAAGACCUCGCGCGAUUGGAGCGGCCGAUAUCAGAUUAGGUAGUUGGUGGGGUGAAGGCCCACCAAGCCAACGACAUGUAGCUGGUCUGAGAGCACGACCAGCCACACUGGAACUGAGACGCGGUCCAGACUCCUACGGGAGGCAGCAGUGGGGAAUUUUGGACAAUGGGCGAAAGCCUGAUCCAGCCAUUCCGCGUGCAGGAUGAAGGCCCUCGGGUUGUAAACUGCUUUUGUACAGAACGAAAAGGUUUCUACUAAUACUAGGAGCUCAUGACGGUACUGUAAGAAUAAGCACCGGCUAACUACGUGCCAGCCGCCGCAGUAA